GCCCUCGUAGCUCAGGGGAUAGAGCACCCGCCUCCUAAGCGGGGGGCCGUUGGUUCGAAUCCAACCGGGGGCA
rnacentral:tRNA from 2 species